UACGUAGGGUGCAAGCGUUAAUCGGAAUUACUAGGGCGUAAACGUGCGCAGGCGGUUGUGCAAGACAGAUGUGAAAUCCCCGGGCUUAACCUGGGAACUGCAUUUGUGACUGCACGGCUGGAGUGCGGCAGAGGGGAUGGAAUUCCGCGUGUAGCAGUGAAAUGCGUAGAUAGUGCGGAGGAACACCGAUGGAGCGAAGGC
rnacentral:rRNA from 1 species